GGAAAUCAUAGUUUUAGCCCUAGCAAUACGCAACGGCUCACGGCAGCAACUCAUAGAUAUUAUAAUACCGCAUCUUUUCUUACUGAGAUAAUAAUACAAGAACGGUAGAGUGCGCGCAAAACAAGUAGUCCAACCUGAACACGAGGCUGAGUG